rnacentral:rRNA from 1 species
CCUACGGGUGGCUGCAGUGGGGGAUAUUGCACAAUGGGGGGAACCCUGAUGCAGCGACGCCGCGUGUGGGAAGACGGUCCUCUGGAUUGUAAACCACUGUCCCCAGGGACGAAAAUGACGGUACCUGGGGAGGAAGCUCCGGCCAACUACGUGCCAGCAGCCGCGGUAAUACGUAGGGAGCGAGCGUUGUCCGGAAUUACGGGGUGUAAAGGGAGCGUAGGCGGGGAUGCAAGUUGGGUGUCAAAACUACCGGCUAAACUGGUAGUCGCACUCAAAACUGCAGCUCUUGAGUGAAGUAGAGGCAGGCGGAAUUCCUGGUGUAGCGGUGAAAUGCGUAGAUAUUAGGAAGAACACCGGUGGCGAAGGCGGCCUGCUGGGCUUUUACUGACGCUGAGGCUCGAAAGUGUGGGGAGCAAACAGGAUUAGAUACCCGUGUAGUC